CCUACGGGGGGCUGCAGUGGGGAAUAUUGGACAAUGGGGGGAACCCUGAUCCAGCCAUGCCGCGUGUGUGAAGAAGGCCCUCGGGUUGUAAAGCACUUUCAGUGAGGAAGAACGCCUGGUGGUUAAUACCCAUCAGGAAAGACAUCACUCACAGAAGAAGCACCGGCUAACUCCGUGCCAGCAGCCGCGGUAAUACGGAGGGUGCGAGCGUUAAUCGGAAUUACUGGGCGUAAAGCGCGCGUAGGUGGCUUGAUAAGCCGGUUGUGAAAGCCCCGGGCUCAACCUGGGAGCGGCAUCCGGAACUGUCAAGCUAGAGUGCAGGAGAGGAAGGUAGAAUUCCCGGUGUAGCGGUGAAAUGCGUAGAGAUCGGGAGGAAUACCAGUGGCGAAGGCGGCCUUCUGGACUGACACUGACACUGAGGUGCGAAAGCGUGGGUAGCAAACAGGAUUAGAUACCCUUGUAGUC
rnacentral:rRNA from 1 species